rnacentral:misc_RNA from 1 species
GAAAUGCGAUAAGUAAUGUGAAUUGCAGAAUUCAGUGAAUCAUCGAAUCUUUGAACGCACAUUGCGCCCCCUGGUAUUCCGGGGGGCAUGCCUGUUCGAGCGUCAUUUCACCACUCAAGCCUCGCUUGGUAUUGGGCAACGCGGUCCGCCGCGUGCCUCAAAUCGACCGGCUGGGUCUUCUGUCCCCUAAGCGUUGUGGAAACUAUUCGCUAAAGGGUGCUCGGGAGGCUACGCCGUAAAACAAACCCAUUUCUAAGGUUGACCUCGGAUCAGGUAGGGAUACGCGCUGAACUUAAGC